ensembl:lncRNA LNCPTCTS lncRNA papillary thyroid carcinoma tumor suppressor
ACAGGCGGCUGGACGGACGGCCUGGCCGACAUCUGCAUAAACAAAGCUCCAGGAGCCCGGCCUGGUGGGGCCGCAUCGCCCUCGGCUCUCAGCCCUUGGGGGAGGUGAGGGGAGUAUGCAGAACCACCCCUGAGCGUUCCACCAGGCCAGGGAGGGUGCCCGCAGCUGGCCCCGGCAAGAAUGAAGUUCGGGUGCUUGGAGCGUGUUGCCCACGAGUCCAAGAGCUUCCUUCAGGGGCUGGCAGCAGCCACGCCCUCUGGGCCUGAGUGUGUGGGACACCAGUGCUCCCCACUCCCAGCCUCUGUCCCUGUGCGGCCCUCACCUGCCCUUCCAGCCCCGUCUCUCUCAUCGACUUCCUGCUAAGCCCGGCCCCCAGGCCUCCCCUCCCUAAGGAGCAGUUGUGACGCCAGUUGGAGGCAAGCUGAGCCCUGGGCCCCCAGGCCAGCCCACCACCUGCUGUCCCCACCCGCACUCUG